rnacentral:rRNA from 1 species
GAUUUUCUGCCUCUAAUUUAUCAAGUAAGGGCAAUGCUAAGAUCAAUGAAUGAUGGGGAGAUCAGCAUCUCAGCAUACGACACUGCUUGGGUUGCCCUAGUGCCAAGGCUAGAUGGUGGCGAUGGACCCCAAUUCAUGACGUCUGUCAAUUGGAUCAUCAACAACCAGCUACCUGACAACUCGUGGGGCGACGCGGCCUUGUUCUCUGCCUACGACCGAAUGAUGAACACUCUUGCUUGUGUUGUAGCACUAACAAAGUGGUCUCUUGAACCCAGCAAAUGCAAGAAAGGACUCUCAUUUCUUGAGGACAAUAUGUGGAGGUUAACGAAAGAAGAUCUAGAGCCAAUGCCCGUUGGUUUUGAGAUUGCAUUCCCUUCUCUCAUAGAAGCUGCUAGGAGCCUGGGGAUUGAAUUUCCAUAUGAACACAAUGCUUUGCAAAGCAUAUAUUAUAACCGAGAAGUGAAGCUUAAUUUGAUUCCAAAGGAUCUGAUGCACAACAUUCCGACAUCACUUCUAUAUAGUCUUGAAGGGAUGCUUGGAUUGGAUUGGCAAAAGCUCUUGAAGCUAAAAUCCUCUGACGGUUCCUUCUUGUGUUCUCCUUCAGCCACUGCUUAUGCUCUUAUGCAAACUGGUGACAACAAAUGCUUCGAGUAUAUCAGCAUGAUAGUCAAGAAAUUUAAUGGAGGCGUUCCCAAUGUUUACCCAGUUGAUCUUUUUGAGCACCUCUGGGCCGUUGAUCGAUUGGAGCGUCUUGGGAUCUCACGAUACUUUGAACGAGAGAUUGAAUAUUGCAUGGAUUAUGUCAAAAGGUAUUGGACAGAAGAAGGGAUAUGCUGGGCUAGAAAUUCAAAUGUAGCAGAUUUGGAUGACACAUCUAUGGCUUUCCGACUACUACGACUACAUGGAUAUGAUGUCUCCCCAAGUGUGUUUAAGCAUUUUGAGAAGGAUGGGGAGUUUUUUUGUUUAGUGGGACAAUCAACUCAGGCAAUCACUGGGAUGUAUAACAUGAAUAGGGCUGCUCAAAUAAGUUUUCCUGGAGAGGAUAUCUUGCAGCAUGCUAGGGCUUUCUCAUAUAAAUAUCUUAGAGAAAGAGAAGCCCAAGGCACAGUUUGUGAUAAAUGGAUCAUUUCUAAGGAUCUACCUGGUGAGGUACAAUACACGCUGGACUUUCCUUGGUAUGCAAACUUGCCACGUUUAGAAGCAAGAACCUAUCUGGAUCAAUAUGGUGGUAGUGAUGACGUAUGGAUCGGAAAGACAUUAUACAGGAUGCCACUUGUGAAUAAUAAUACCUAUCUUGAGUUGGCAAGACUUGAUUUCAAUAGUUGUCAAGUUCUACAUCAGCUUGAGUGGCAUGGUUUGCAAAAAUGGUUUACUAGGAGCGGGCUCAAGGUUUUUCAGGUGGCGCCAGAAGAUGUUUUAAGAACGUAUUUUUUAGCCGUUGCUAGCAUUUUCGAACCAAGCCGUGCCAAUGAGCGAUUUGCAUGGACCACAGUGUCAGUGCUUGCCAACACUAUUUCAACACACAUUCGUAGCAACUUUACGAGAAAGGAAAGGAUGGUACAAUUUUUACAGCAUGGCCCCCAUGAACAAAAUGAUGACCCAUCAUGGCUUAAAGGAAAUACAAAAGACGAUAUUCUUGCAAGUGCACUUCAACAACUUAUUGAUACUUUAGCACAAGAGGCACUACCUUCGCGCGAAGGACCAAACUACAUCCACAAUCUCUUACGAUGUGCUUGGAAUGAAUGGAUGAUCGAACAGAUAUACACUGAUGAUGACAAAUAUACAAAAUCUAGUGUUAUGCAACAAGGGUCGUGCGUGGUUAACGGAAAACAAACAUGUUUGCUUCUUGUUAAAGUUAUUGAGAUUUGUGCUGGACGAACUGGUGAAGUACAAUCCAUGAUAAACAAUGUGCAUGGCGCUCGGUUCAUUCAACUUGCAUCCUCUAUUUAUGACAAUCUUCACCAUAAGCAGUUACUUUCUCAGGAUACUGAUAAAAAGCAGGAAAUAAUAUACCGCAUUGAUGAGGAAGUUGAGUUUGAUAUGCAAGAACUUGCCCGAUAUCAUCUCCAGAGGUGCGAUGAUACAACCAGUAACAGGAAGACAAAGCAAACAUUCAUGGAUGUUGUGAAAACUUGCUACUACUCUGCUAAUUGCCCGCAACAUAUGGUUGAUAAGCAUGUCUCAAGAGUUAUUUUCGAGCCUGUUAUUUGA